rnacentral:rRNA from 1 species
CCUACGGGCGGCAGCAGUGAGGAAUAUUGGUCAAUGGACGGAAGUCUGAACCAGCCAUGCCGCGUGCAGGAAGACGGCUCUAUGAGUUGUAAACUGCUUUUGUACAAGGGUAAACCUGAAUACGUGUAUUCAGCUGAAAGUACUGUACGAAUAAGGAUCGGCUAACUCCGUGCCAGCCGCCGCGGUAAUACGGAGGAUCCAAGCGUUAUCCGGAUUUAUUGGGUUUAAAGGGUGCGUAGGCGGAUUGAUAAGUUAGAGGUGAAAUGUCCGAGCUUAACUCGGGAACUGCCUCUAAUAAUGUUGAUCUAGAGAGUAGAUGCGGUAGGCGGAAUGUAUGGUGUAGCGGUGAAAUGCUUAGAGAUCAUACAGAACACCGAUUGCGAAGGCGGCUUACUGGACUGUAACUGACGUUGAGGCUCGAAAGCGUGGGGAGCAAACAGGAUUAGAUACCCGAGUAGUC